CCUACGGGAGGCAGCAGUGGGGAAUAUUGCACAAUGGGGGAAACCCUGAUGCAGCGACGCCGCGUGAGUGAAGAAGUAAUUCGUUAUGUAAAGCUCUAUCAGCAGGGAAGAAAAUGACGGUACCUGAGUAAUACGCCCCGGCUAACUACGUGCCAGCAGCCGCGGUCAUACGUCGGGGGCAAGCGUUAUCCGGAUUUACUGGGUGUAAAGGGAGCGUAGACGGCAGUGCAAGUCUGGAGUGAAAGGCGGGGGCUCAACCCCCGGACUGCUCUGGAAACUGUCCGGCUGGAGUGCAGGAGAGGUAAGUGGAAUUCCUAGUGUAGCGGUGAAAUGCGUAGAUAUUAGGAGGAACACCAGUGGCGAAGGCGGCUUACUGGACUGUAACUGACGUUGAGGCUCGAAAGCGUGGGGAGCAAACAGGAUUAGAUACCCCAGUAGUC
rnacentral:rRNA from 1 species